UACAGAGGUCCCGAGCGUUGUUCGGAUUCAUUGGGCGUAAAGGGUGCGUAGGUGGCGCCGUAAGUCGGGUGUGAAAUUUCGGAGCUUAACUCCGAAACUGCAUUCGAUACUGCCGUGCUUGAGGACUGGAGAGGAGACUGGAAUUUACGGUGUAGCGGUGAAAUGCGUAGAUAUCGUAAGGAAGACCAGUGGCGAAGGCGGGUCUCUGGACAGUUCCUGACGCUGAGGCACGAAGGUCAGGGGAGCAAACGGG
rnacentral:rRNA from 1 species